rnacentral:rRNA from 2 species
AAAUUGAAGAGUUUGAUCAUGGCUCAGAUUGAACGCUGGCGGCAGGCCUAACACAUGCAAGUCGAACGGUAACAGGAAGCAGCUUGCUGCUUCGCUGACGAGUGGCGGACGGGUGAGUAAUGUCUGGGAAACUGCCUGAUGGAGGGGGAUAACUACUGGAAACGGUGGCUAAUACCGCAUAACGUCGCAAGACCAAAGAGGGGGACCUUCGGGCCUCUUGCCAUCAGAUGUGCCCAGAUGGGAUUAGCUAGUUGGUGAGGUAACGGCUCACCAAGGCGACGAUCCCUAGCUGGUCUGAGAGGAUGACCAGCCACACUGGAACUGAGACACGGUCCAGACUCCUACGGGAGGCAGCAGUGGGGAAUAUUGCACAAUGGGCGCAAGCCUGAUGCAGCCAUGCCGCGUGUAUGAAGAAGGCCUUCGGGUUGUAAAGUACUUUCAGCGGGGAGGAAGGUGUUGUGGUUAAUAACCGCAGCAAUUGACGUUACCCGCAGAAGAAGCACCGGCUAACUCCGUGCCAGCAGCCGCGGUAAUACGGAGGGUGCAAGCGUUAAUCGGAAUUACUGGGCGUAAAGCGCACGCAGGCGGUCU